UUUUUUCUGUCAGCUGCUUUGGAUAUGUUCUUAAUGCAUUAGUUGUUGGUGUAGUUUCCCAAUUUUCCAGGGUAGAGAUCCAUCUUGGUAGUCCUUCUAUGUCUUUUGUUGUCUUGGCAUUUGAGUAGAUAAUUGUGCUAUUUUUGUUGUUGUAGAUCCACUUUCCUCCUUCUUCAUAGCUGCUUAUUAGCUCUUGAAUAAUGACUUUGGUCAUAGUAGCUCUUUUGUUUUGUAGAAAUUCUACUAUUUCUUGAAUGGUUAAAUCAGGUUGUUCCAUAGGUUCUUCACACAUAAUUGUUCUUGUUAGUCCUAGNNN
rnacentral:lncRNA from 1 species